rnacentral:misc_RNA from 1 species
AAGUCGGGCUCAACAUAGUAUGAUUAUCCGAAUACGCUGCGGUCACACUAGUACCGGCCCAUAUAGACAGAAGAAAAAUUUUAUUUAACCGAUUUCAGCUAUAAACAGGCUAUUACGCGGAAAGCACAUAUAAAUUCCCGAAUAAAUCCGCAUUCGAAGUCCCAUAAAUAUUGACAGUCAGUCGGAUAGGACAGCUAAUCACACCGACAAUGGCCAACAACAACUACGCCGGGUUUAACUACGGCGGCACCCAGUACAAUACGGGCCAGGUCUCGUACCCGGCGGUAACCAAUGCCACCUACGCGAAUGCGGCCGCCUAUCAGAAUGCCGCUGUGGCCGCCGGACAGGGUGGUUACGCCGGAGCAGCAGGAGCGGGCGCUGGCGCCCCCUCUGGCCCAGGGGCGGGGGGUUAUGGUGGCUACGGCGACUAUCGCAGUGCCAUGCAAUACGACGCUACCAAGACAUUCUACCAGCAGUCGUCGGCCAGCUACAACGCCUCCGGUUCGACAGCCUCGGUCAGCAAGACGCACUACUCGGCUCCGCCAGUCAAGAAUCAGGUAAAGGGCAAGAUGGACAAGUCUAAUGGUGGUCCCAAGCCCCCUAGUUCGGCUCCUCCGGCGGGCAACAAUUACAGUGGCUAUGAUACAGCGCUCUACAAUGCGGCAAGCAUGUAUGUGGCCCAACAGCAUCAGGGCAAUCCAAACCAAAAGCCAAAUGGCGGCGCCAAUAACUGGUAUCAGCGCAAGAUGCAACCCACCAUACCAGGAGCACCGGCCAUAAGGGGUAUGCGUCCGAAGGCACCUCCACGUCCCCAGCAGCUGCACUACUGCGAAGUGUGCAAGAUCUCGUGCGCCGGACCUCAGACCUAUCGCGAGCAUCUGGAGGGUCAGAAGCACAAGAAACGCGAGGCUUCGCUGAAGAUGUCCGCUAGUGCCAACAGUGCUACACAAAAUCGUGGUAACAACUACCACUGCGAGCUGUGCGAUGUAACAUGCACUGGUACGGAUGCAUAUGCCGCCCAUGUGCGUGGAGCCAAGCAUCAGAAGGUGGUCAAGUUGCACCAGAAGCUGGGCAAACCCAUUCCCUCGGAGGAACCCAAAAAGAUGGGCAAGAUCAACUUUGUGCCCGCUGCUGCUGGCGGAGCUGGUGUUGCCAAGACCGAAGGCGGCGCGAACGAGAGCGAUGCAGCUGGAGAUCUUGAUGAUAAUCUGGACGAUUCGCUGGGCGAAAACUCGGACAACAUUAAGCCAGUGGGCGGCGAGUAUAUUGAAGAGGUCAAGGACGAAGAGGGCAAGAUAUUGAGCUUCAACUGCAAGCUGUGCGAUUGCAAGUUCAACGACCCGAAUGCCAAAGAGAUGCACAUGAAGGGCCGUCGCCAUCGCUUGCAGUACAAGCGAAAGGUGCAGCCAGAUCUAGUUGUCGACUUCAAGCCCACUCCUCGCCAGCGCCGCCUGGCUGAGGCCCGUGCCAACCGGGCCAUGAUGUCCUCGCAUCGCGGCGGUGAUGAUCACGACGGCGGCUACUGGGAGGAGCAGCGCAACCGACAAUACAACGAAGAGUAUGACUACAACAACUGGAUGUCGCGCAGUUUCGGAGGUGCCCAGCGCUUUGGGCGCAUGGGCAAUGGACCGCCGCCGCACUUUGGCAUGAUGCCCGGCGGAAAUGUUCGUCGUCCGGAAAGCACCGAUGAUCGCCACGCCAUUGCCCGUCACGCCGAGAUCUAUCCGAAGGAGGAGGAGCUGCAGACCAUCCAGCGCAUCGUUUCGCACACCGAGAGGGCCCUAAAAUUGGUCUCCGAUGCCCUGGCCGAGCAGCCCAGUGAUGCCGGAGCGGCCAAUAAGAAGGACAAGGCUGACAAGCCGUCGGAGAAGGACGGACGCGACAAUCAGAUCUUCUCGUUCCACAAAGACGCCGACAAUGGUGGCAAUGUCGUGCGCAUCCUGAAGGGAGUGAUGCGAGUGGGCUACCUGGCCAAGGGGCUGCUGCUCCACGGCGACAACGCCGUCGAGCUGGUCGUCCUUUGCGCGGAGAAGCCGACUUCGGGUCUUUUGCAGCGUGUGGCCAAUGUGCUGCCCGACAAACUCAAGGAGGUGGCAGCUUCUCUCUCUGCAGGAUAAGUUUCGAGCCUCGAGCCUUGAGCCUUAGCCUAGAAGCUCUGUGAGUCUAGAGUCUUGAGUGUGUCGUUCAGUUAGCCAUCUGUAGCUGUAGCUCAGCCCUCCCAGGUUGCUCCUCUUCCCGCACGGCUGCUGCUGCACUGCUCCGCUCCACUCCAAUCAAAUCACCACCAGCGGAUCGUCACGGCGACACUCAGGUCAAUUACCGCGUGGAGGUCAACGCCGAGGAAGCCGCCCUAAUUGUGCUGGAUGAGUCUGUUUCCGUUAAGAUA